rnacentral:rRNA from 1 species
GUCCGCAACGAGACGCAACCCUCGACCUUAGUUGCCAGCAUUCAGUUGGGCACUCUAAGGUGACUGCCGGCUAAAAGUCGGAGGAAGGUGGGGAUGACGUCAAAUCAUCAUGCCCCUUAUGACCUGGGCUACACACGUGCUACAAUGGGCGGUACAAAGGGUCGCGAACCCGCGAGGGGGAGCCAAUCCCAAAAAGCCGCUCUCAGUUCGGAUUGCAGGCUGCAACUCGCCUGCAUGAAGCCGGAAUCGCUAGUAAUCGCGGAUCAGCAUGCCGCGGUGAAUACGUUCCCGGGCCUU